rnacentral:rRNA from 1 species
CCCUUAGAUGUUCUGGGCCGCACGUGCGCUACACUGUUCGACGCAGCGAGUCUUAACCUUGACCGAAAGGUUUGGGUAAUCUUCAGCAAAGUCGAACGUGAUGGGGAUCGAUCAUUGCAAUUAUUGAUCGUGAACGAGGAAUUCCUAGUAAGUGCAAGUCAUCAGCUUGCGCUGAUUACGUCCCUGCCCUUUGUACACACCGCCCGUCGCUACUACCGAUUGAAUGGUUUAGUGAGAUCUCUGGAUUGACGCUGGCUAGGGGGCGACCCUUGGCCAGGCUGUCGAGAAACUGCUCAAACUUGAUCAUUUAGAGGAAGUAAAAGUCGUAACA